rnacentral:rRNA from 1 species
AGAGUUUGAUCCUGGCUCAGGACGAACGUUGGCGGCGCGCUUUAUGCAUGCAAGUCGAGGGAGAAGCGUUGGUUCCGUAAGGUUCCGACGUGGAAACCGGCGAACGGGUGCGUAACACGUGAGAAACCUGCCCCCCAGACCGGGAUAGCCCAGGGAAACUUGGAUUAAUACCGGAUACUCUCUCAGGACCGCAUGGUCCGGUGAGGAAAUGGUCCGCCGCUGGGGGAUGGUCUCGCGGCCUAUCAGGUAGUUGGUGAGGUAACGGCUCACCAAGCCGAACACGGGUAGCUGGUCUGAGAGGACGAUCAGCCACACUGGAACUGAGACACGGUCCACACUCCUACGGGAGGCAGCAGCAGGGAAUAUUGCACAAUGGGCGAAAGCCUGAUGCAGCGACGCCGCGUGCGGGAUGAAGGCCUUCGGGUUGUAAACCGCUUUCAGCGAGGGAAGAAACUGACUGUACCUCCAGAAGAAGCUCCGGCCAACUACAUGCCAGCAGCCGAGGUAAUACGUAUGGAGCGAACGUUGUCCGGAAUUAUUGGGCGUAAAGGGCUCGUACGCGGAUCAUCAAGUCGGUCGUGAAAGCCCGGGGCUCAAACCCUGGAUGCCGGUCGAAACUGCUGUGACUUGACUUCGGUAGACGUGAGUGGAAUUCUCGGUGUAGCGGUGGAAUGCGCAGAUAUCGAGAGGAACACCCGUAGCGAAGGC